GUACUUUUUUUAGUAAGUAAGAACUGAGUGGUUUAGGGAUUGCCUUCUCAGUAAUCAGUGACUGGUGAGGGUUUUUUUUUGUUGUUUUUUUGUUGUUUUUUUGUUGGUUUUUUUUUUUUUUUUGGGUUUUUUUUUCUGAAAGUAUGACUAGAGAGCCCUUAGGUAUUCUCACUGCUGAAAUAUUUAUACCACAGGAAGACUGAAUUCCCAGUGAAAUGCAGUUGCAGCCAUUUUCUUUGAAAACACAGCUGGAGCCCUUUCAUGGGGAUAAUGAAGAGAGAAGUAAGGCACUGCUCAUUAGCUAUUACUGUGUGAAAGGACUCAGCCCACUGCCAAGAACCCCUGCCAUGCCACUCUACUGUGAGGCAUAGUGUAAGAAUUACAGCUUUCAGGUUCUCUACGCUGACUGAGUGCAGCAUAUUUCUAUAUUGCUUUCAUCUGUCCAUGUGGAGUCUGUAAGGAAUCAGGAAGAUUAAGCUGAACAUAUCAUCAGUAACUGUAGGUACA
rnacentral:lncRNA from 1 species